AUGAACGCUAGCUACAGGCUUAACACAUGCAAGUCGAGGGGCAGCAUGAACUUAGCUUGCUAAGUUUGAUGGCGACCGGCGCACGGGUGAGUAACACGUAUCCAACCUGCCGAUGACUCGGGGAUAGCCUUUCGAAAGAAAGAUUAAUACCCGAUGGCAUAGUUCUUCCGCAUGGUGGAACUAUUAAAGAAUUUCGGUCAUCGAUGGGGAUGCGUUCCAUUAGGUUGUUGGCGGGGUAACGGCCCACCAAGCCUUCGAUGGAUAGGGGUUCUGAGAGGAAGGUCCCCCACAUUGGAACUGAGACACGGUCCAAACUCCUACGGGAGGCAGCAGUGAGGAAUAUUGGUCAAUGGACGAGAGUCUGAACCAGCCAAGUAGCGUGAAGGAUGACUGCCCUAUGGGUUGUAAACUUCUUUUAUACGGGAAUAAAGUGAGGCACGUGUGCCUUUUUGUAUGUACCGUAUGAAUAAGGAUCGGCUAACUCCGUGCCAGCAGCCGCGGUAAUACGGAGGAUCCGAGCGUUAUCCGGAUUUAUUGGGUUUAAAGGGAGCGUAGGCGGACGCUUAAGUCAGUUGUGAAAGUUUGCGGCUCAACCGUAAAAUUGCAGUUGAUACUGGGUGUCUUGAGUACAGUAGAGGCAGGCGGAAUUCGUGGUGUAGCGGUGAAAUGCUUAGAUAUCACGAAGAACUCCGAUUGCGAAGGCAGCUUGCUGGACUGUAACUGACGCUGAUGCUCGAAAGUGUGGGUAUCAAACAGGAUUAGAUACCCUGGUAGUCCACACAGUAAACGAUGAAUACUCGCUGUUUGCGAUAUACAGUAAGCGGCCAAGCGAAAGCGUUAAGUAUUCCACCUGGGGAGUACGCCGGCAACGGUGAAACUCAAAGGAAUUGACGGGGGCCCGCACAAGCAGUGGAGUAUGUGGUUUAAUUCGACGCAACGCGAAGAACCUUACCAAGACUUGACAUAUACAUGAAAGCCUAAGAGAUUAGGCCCCUCUUCGGAGCGUGUAUACAGGUGAUGCAUGGUUGUCGUCAGCUCGUGCCGUGAGGUGUCGGCUUAAGUGCCAUAACGAGCGCAACCCUUAUCGAUAGUUACCAUCAGGUGAUGCUGGGGACUCUGUCGAGACUGCCGUCGUAAGAUGUGAGGAAGGUGGGGAUGACGUCAAAUCAGCACGGCCCUUACGUCCGGGGCUACACACGUGUUACAAUGGGGGGUACAGAAGGCAGCUACACGGCGACGUGAUGCUAAUCCCGAAAGCCUCUCUCAGUUCGGAUUGGAGUCUGCAACCCGACUCCAUGAAGCUGGAUUCGCUAGUAAUCGCGCAUCAGCCACGGCGCGGUGAAUACGUUCCCGGGCCUUGUACACACCGCCCGUCAAGCCAUGAAAGCCGGGGGUACCUGAAGUGCGUAACCGCAAGGAGCGCCCUAGGGUAAAACUGGUGAUUGGGGCU
rnacentral:rRNA from 1 species